rnacentral:rRNA from 1 species
UGCGCAGGUGGGUUGGUAAGUUUGGUGUGAAAGCUUCGGGCUUAACCCGGAAAAUGCAUUGAAUACUACUGAUCUGGAGGGUUGGAGGGGGGACUGGAAUUCUUGGUGUAGCAGUGAAAUGCGUAGAUAUCAAGAGGAACACCAGUGGCGAAGGCGAGUCCCUGGACAAACCCUGACACUGAGGCACGAAAGCCAAGGGAGCAAACA